AUUGAACGCUGGCGGUAUGCUUAACACAUGCAAGUCGAACGGUAGCAGGCCUUCGGGCGCUGACGAGUGGCGGACGGGCGAGUAACGCGUAGGAAUCUACCUGGUAGUGGGGGACAACUUGGGGAAACCCAAGCUAAUACCGCAUACGCCCCAAGGGGGAAAGCGGGGGAUCUUCGGACCUCGCGCUAUUGGAUGAGCCUGCGUAGGAUUAGCUUGUUGGUGAGGUAAAGGCUCACCAAGGCGACGAUCCUUAGCUGGUCUGAGAGGAUGAUCAGCCACACUGGAACUGAGACACGGUCCAGACUCCUACGGGAGGCUG
rnacentral:rRNA from 1 species